rnacentral:pre_miRNA from 1 species
GGUCCUCAGGCCCCAGGUGCAGUGCUGCAUCUCUGGUCAAUUGGGAGUCUGAGAUGAAGCACUGUAGCUCGGGAAGGAGGGCGC